rnacentral:rRNA from 1 species
GACGAGCGCUGGCGGCGUGCUUAACACAUGCAAGUCGAACGGUGAAGCGCCUUCCUUUUUGGUGGGUGUGGAUGAGUGGCGAACGGGUGAGUAACACGUGAGUAACCUGCCCCCUUCUUCUGGAUAACCGCAUGAAAGUGUGGCUAAUACGGGAUAUUCUGGGUCUGUCGCAUGAUGGGUCUGGGAAAGAUAUUGUUUCGGUGGGGGAUGGGCUCGCGGCCUAUCAGCUUGUUGGUGGGGUGAUGGCCUACCAAGGCGGUGACGGGUAGCCGGCCUGAGAGGGUGGACGGUCACACUGGGAAUGAGACACGGCCCAGACUCGUACGGGAGGCAGCAGUGGGGAAUAUUGCACAAUGGGCGCAAGCCUGAUGCAGCGACGCCGCGUGAGGGAUGGAGGCCUUCGGGUUGUGAACCUCUUUCGCCAGUGAAGCAGGCCUGCCUCGUUUGUGGGUGGGUUGACGGUAGCUGGAUAAGAAGCGCCGGCUAACUACGUG